GAAUGGAAGAUGCCUGGGCUGGAUGGAAGUC
rnacentral:piRNA from 1 species